UACUGAGUUCUUCCUAUGCUGGUACUCAUCUGCCUUAUAAGAAAGAAUAAUCCUAGAAAGAGUUAUGUUUCACAGCUCUCACGUUUCUCAAAAGUUGAGAAGAAUGUACAUGAAACAAAAGUUACAGCUGCAAGUAUAAUGGAAGAUGCUGGAAGAGUGUAUUAGACAAUAGCUGCAAGAGGUUUCCAGGAUGCCAAAUGCAGCCAUGCUGAGGCACUUCACAGGAAGUUACAUAUCUGGGAUCUGGCUUGGCCCAUCAAAGCAAACAAGUCUGGCUGCUGGACAAAGAAAGAGCAAAUUCUGUGGAACCUCAUCCCACCUUCCAAUACAGGUAUGUAGCCAUUUCAAGUCGCUGAUGGUCAAACAGGUCUAGAUCCAGGGAUGAGUGGUCACUAAUUACCCCUCCUUCCAAACGCACAGAAGGCUAAAUGGAAUCAAGUGAACCUGCAUAAUUAUUAAUAAUUUUAAGAAUAAGGUUUAGGGUGAUCUUGGGUUUCCAGUCAAGCCCUUUAACCCUUAUGUUAAAACAAAACUUGCAUUUCUGCAUAUUCUACUUCCUCAUUUGAG